GGACUACCGGGGUAUCUAAUCCCGUUCGCUACCCUAGCUUUCGUGCCUCAGCGUCAGAAGAGAUCCAGUAAGCCGCUUUCGCCACCGGUGUUCCUUAGGAUAUCAACGCAUUUCACCGCUCCACCCUAAGUUCCGCUUACCUCUAUCUCCCUCAAGCACGGUAGUUUAGGGCGCAGUUCCUCGGUUGAGCCGAGGGAUUUCACACCCUACUUUCCGCGCCGCCUACGCACCCUUUAAGCCCAGUAAUUCCGAAUAACGUUUGGACGGUUCGUCUUACCGCGGCUGCUGGCAC
rnacentral:rRNA from 1 species